rnacentral:rRNA from 1 species
GUACCAAAAACCGACGGCCGGUUCUGCCGGUCUCACUCUUGGUGACUCUGAAUAAAGUAGCGGAUCGCACGGCCUUGCGCCGGCGACGGACCAUUCAAGUGUCUGCCCUAUCAGCUUUCGAUGGUAAGUGACCUGCUUACCAUGGCUUUYACGGGUAACGGGGAAUCAGGGUUCGAUUCCGGAGAGGGAGCAUGAGAAACGGCUACCACUUCCAAGGAAGGSAGCAGGCGCGCAAAUUACCCAAUCCCGACACGGGGAGGUAGUGACSAAAAAUAACMAUGCCGCCCUCUGCGAGGGAGGUAAUUGGAAUGAGCACAAUUUACAAACCUUAGCGAGGAUCUAUUGGAGGGCAAGUCUGGUGCCAGCMGCCGCGGUAAUUCCAGCUCCAAWARCGUAUAWUAAAGUUKUUGCAGUUAAAAAGCUCSUAGUUGGAUCUCARGAGCGAGAGGCGCSGCUGGGCGCGGCCUUCGCGCAAGCGGGGUCGUCGUUCCGGCCAGCCUGAAUCGUUCCCUCCGCAGGCUCUCCGGUCGUGCUAUUAGCUUAGUGCGGCCGGCAGGUCUGCCGCUUACUUUGAAG